CUCUGAUUUACACACUGCUCUUUUCAUUUCACACAAACACACAGCAAGCUGCUCUCUGACAAAAAGAACUUCUUCUGGCUGAUGCUGAGGUUUAAAGCACAAAGCAUCACCAUGGAAACCGUGUCAGUCGUGCUCCUCCUGCUAUCAGCUUUUACUCCUCCAGUCCAGAGUCAAUUCAUUUCACUCCAUAUCAUUCUGGGUGACAUGAAUCAGACUGAGGCUCGGGAAGCUUGCAGAGAAAAAUACACCGACCUCGUCACUGUGUACUCUGAUGAAGACAAC